AUUGAACGCUGGCGGCAGGCCUAACACAUGCAAGUCGAGCGGAUGAAGGGAGCUUGCUCCUGGAUUCAGCGGCGGCCGGGUGAGUAAUGCCUAUAAAUCUGCCUGGUCUUGGGGGAUAACGUCCUAAAACGGGCGCUAAUACUGCAUACGUCGUGAGGUCGAAAGUGGGUGAUCUUCGGACCUCUUGCUAUCAGAUUAGCCUAGGUCGGAUUCGCUAGUUGGUGGGGUAAAGGCCUACCAAGGCGACGAUCCGUAACUGGUCUGAGAGGAUGAUCAGUCACACUGUAACUGAGACACGGUCCAGACUCCUACGGGAGGCAGCAGUGGGGAAUAUUGGACAAUGGGCGAAAGCCUGAUCCAGCCAUGUCGCGUGUGUGAAGAAGGUCUUAGGAUUGUAAAGCACUUUAAGUUGGGAGGAAGGGCAGUAAGUUAAUACCUUGCUGUUUUGACGUUACCAACAGAAUAAGCACCGGCUAACUUCGUG
rnacentral:rRNA from 1 species